ACGACCUUACUUGAACAGGAUCUGUUCUAUAGGCUCGUACCUCUGUAUCCUUGAGUUCUAAGGAGACAGGAUAUCAAGUCUGGUGGAUGAGUUAUAACCGCGUGAUCAGAGCGUGAUUAACAGCGUCCGUGAUCAUCGAUCACUGGCGCAGUAGAGGAUCGUUCUCAGUCGCUAUACGGUGGCCGGGAUGAUCGCACGGUUGUCUGACAGACU